UUUUUGCAUCGCUGUGAACAGCUUGUCCUCACGGAAUCGAGAGUCUGUUUCACCUGUGGCUUUGUCUGUUCCCGACGGCCGUAAGGUGGCCAGUUCUUACGAGCAUCCUCCUGGCCAGGUUGUGAGCGAGGACAGGUGGUAAGGCUGGUAGAUUGAUGGAAGGAGAGCUGAUUGCCUUUGGAAGCAUACCUGCUGUAUUUUACACUCGUAAGGAGGAAAUGACUGGCUUCUCUACUGACCCAACCUGAUGUCAACUGCUAACCCAACAGCAGCAGAAACACAAAAGCCACUGACGAUGAUGACAACGAUGAUUAUGAUAAUGAUGAGAACGAUGAUGAUUAUGACGAUGACAAUGAUGAUGGUGAAGAUGAUGAUGAUGAUGAUGUGGGACACACAGCCGUGAACAGCGACCCCAGAGCAGGGGGCUUCCGGCCGGAGGCUGCACCCCUGUCAAAUAUCUGUGUGGGCCCCCAAGUCCCCAGGCCUGGAGCUCUUUAUAUCACCCACCUGCAGCAAGCUCUACACAAACACCAGAGCUCUCCAAACACAUGCAUUUAUUUUCACGGUUAUUAUGUCCUUUAUUCCCACCUCACAUGGUGGACCACCGCUGCUGACAAACACAACUCUUUAAAGCCCCCCCCUCUAAAAUACAGCAUGUUGACACGGAGAAAGAAACGACAACGCAUAAGCCCUUGGCAUGUGCGAUAUCCUGUUUUUUUUUAAUUUUUUUGAAAAACUGAACAGAAGAGAGAAAAAAGAAGAACACAUUAAUUCAGCAAUAAAAGCUGGUGUUGACUAUUCAUUUAGGACAUUGUUUAAUGUUGUGCUUUUCCGUUUCAUCCAGCAAUGAACCAAAGCGUAAAUAAAGGUGAACUAUUAUGUGUCAUAUCUAAUCUGUACUUAGCUCAUAGUUUAUGGGGCGUUUUACUGACUGAAGAGAAUGCAUUUUACAAUGCAUUAAACUGUCCCGUU